UACUUAUUCAGAGUAAAAGAUAGCUAACAUUAUGGAUCGUGUUAGUGGUACUUUCAAGCAAACUAUUUGAAACAGCAAAAAUCAAAAAAUUACUAGGUUAAAGCAUAAUUAAUUUGGUUUGAUAAUUUUUUUACCUAAAACAGAUUAAUAGAUUCGUUUAUCUGAGGUAACACACUAUAUACCAGAAAUUAAAAUGAAUGUAAAAUUUCUAACUUGCUUAAUUGCAUUUAUUCUGAUCUUCUUGAACUCGUCAGUUAUGGCAUUUAAUGCCAAUGGAUAUAAAGAAGUGCCUCGUGAAUCUAUGGAUCUGGAGAAGUUUGAGGACCUGUUUGAAGAGAACCAGAUUUGAUCAAAUGAACAUUGAACAAUGAAAAGAGGAGAGCAACGUGUUUUGUGUACUGUUAAAUAUAAUACACCGAUAAUUGUUGUGUGAUUCAUAUUAA